UCAAAAGUUGGCCUCACAUUCUGGGUUGUUCAACAACAAGAAUGAACUCAAUUCUGGUGCUGUUUGAUGAUCUGUGCUUUCCAUAUAAACUCCAUUUGUAGUGGAAAAGCCUCUUUGCUUAGCUUUAGCUCUUUCUUUUUCUUCUUUUGGGAAACAACAAUCAAUUGUCAGUAUCGUACAUGUUCCAUUAGGUUGACAUCGAUAACAGGUUUCAUCAUCAUUAUGUUUUGAGUUUUACAAUUUUGCAUUGUUGCCCAAUUAUUUCUAGGAUUAUGACUCGGGAGGCAUGAAUGUGUGGCCAAACCUCUAGUCCUAAAUUGUUGAUAUAGGUUCAUAGCAUACUUUCCUGUCAGUAUGUAGUUGUUCCACGCAGCAAGUCUUUUAGUUACAUUGUGAUCCAUAUCUGGGGAUGAUCUUCCAGUAACUCGCUAUCUUGGUACUAAAUCUGUUACCCCUGUGUCGCCCCUUGGACAAAGUUUGUCAUUGAGAUCAGUUAUCUUGAACGUUCCUUCUUUUCGUCUCAGUGACCAUGGCCAUAGUGUGACAUGAAGUUUUAUCUUUGCUCCUCAGGACACUAGUGCUUUGUUGGUAUCCUCUUGCACUGUUCAUUGUUUUAUUAGCCUGCCAAUUCUACAUAAAUAUCCUUUGUCCUGACAAAAGGUUGUUCCUGAAAAAAGCUUUACAAUUCCUGCCAUAGUAUCCCUUUUGUUCAGCUAUUUGCUGUAAUGGUUUUUUCUAAAGGCACUCUAAUGUUUAUCUCUUUUUGUUUCAUCAGGUUCUCAUGCACCAAAAGAAGCAACAAUAGACAAGCUGGAUGAAUAAAUUUCUUUCAGGUUCUCAAUGCUAGAUGACCAUGAUACCAAAAGAUGGAUACAUUUUUCUGCAUUAUCUUCGUUGCAAAAUGAUGUUGUGGCUGUGAUGAAUUGUUUGCUGCGAAAGAUUAUGUUGAUAUGAUAAAUUAUGAAUGCUGGGAUUUGGGGUUCAAAGUCAUGCUGCUAUGAUAAAUUAUGUUGUUGUUGUGAUGAGAUAUUGAUUUCAAGUCAUGCAAAAUUAUGUUGCUGUUGGGAAAGCUGUUGCUAAAUUAUGAGAUAUUGAUUUCAAGUCAUUUUUAUCAGGUGACCUUUACAAUUCUGUAGCAAGGAUAUAAGGGGAGUUAGUUACGAUGUAAAGAUUGGAUUUUUAAAUGUUCUACACCAUGUUAUGUCAACAUGACAAACCCU
rnacentral:lncRNA from 1 species